AUGGAUAGCUUAGUUUUCUUGUACAUACUUUGUAGUUUCAAUGAUGAGACAUAUAUGUCAAUUAUGGGUGUUGGCUCCAACAAUUCUCAUUGGUCUCAAACCAAUGAAGUGCAUUUAGAUGAUCAUGAGUUUGAGGUGGACGAGGAUGGUGAGGGUAUCGUCGAUGCACCGAAAAGAAGAGGGGGCAACUAUACCAUGGAGAAGGACAUCUUGCUAUGCAAUACAUGGUUGCAAGUGUCUAUGUAUUCCAACGUUGGAGGGGACCAAAGUAGAGAUGCAUAUCGGAUCCGGAUGAAGGAGCACUUUGAUGUACACAACAUGAGUGGAAUUGACCGCACAGAGAGAUCUCUUCACUCCCGGUGGCCGACAAUCAACAAAAGAUUGUCAAAGGUGGGCGGCGGCACUUAA
rnacentral:rRNA from 1 species